CCUACGGGAGGCAGCAGUGGGGAAUAUUGCACAAUGGGGGAAACCCUGAUGCAGCGACGCCGCGUGGGUGACGAAGUAUUUCGGUAUGUAAAGCCCUAUCAGCAGGGAAGAAGAUGACAGUACCUGACUAAGAAGCCCCGGCUAACUACGUGCCAGCAGCCGCGGUAAUACGUAGGGGGCAAGCGUUAUCCGGAUUUACUGGGUGUAAAGGGAGAGUAGGUGGCAUGGCAAGCCAGAAGUGAAAACCCGGGGCUUAACCCCGCGGAUUGCUUUUGGAAAUGGCAGGCUGGAGUGCAGGAGGGGCAGGCGGAAGUCCUGGUGUAGCGGUGAAAUGCGUAGAUAUCAGGAGGAACACCGGUGGCGAAGGCGGCCUGCUGGACUGUAACUGACGCUGAGGCACGAAGGCCAGGGGAGCGAAAGGGAUUAGAUACCCCUGUAGUC
rnacentral:rRNA from 1 species